rnacentral:lncRNA from 1 species
CAAGCCUAUCUCCUUUUCCUGGAAACACAAUCAAAUUAACUUUCCAGUCACCGCUGUGUCUAGGUGUGGCCAUAUGAGUAGUUCUCACCAGUGGAAUGUAGUGAAAACGAGAUGCUGUCUCUUAGGGACUAAGGAAGCUAUCUUUCCUCUUCCGACAUUUGCUGACUGGUCGAUGCUAGAUGAUCUUGAGACCCUGUGCUGAGGACUGGAGAACUACAGGAAAGGAGCAGUAUCUCUGAAUUAUCGUGUGGAAGGUCACUUGUCUAGCCCCUGAUGACUGUGAGCCUCUUCCUCCUGCUUGCCACCUCUCAGUCACAAGACGGCUGCUGCGACUCAGGCUCAUGUCCCAAUUCAAGGCAGCAAGAAGGCCAUGGAGCGGCACCUGCCAGCUCCUGUCUCCCCAUCCCCUAGAAUCGUUGACAAAAUGAGUGACACUGCCCUGGGAUCUGGGUCUCUGGUUGAGGCCUUGGAGCUACUGCCUCUGCCUGUGAACUCACCCAUCAUCGCUAACAGGUUGCUCCACAGCCUACAGAUCUCAAUAUUUCGCUAGCACAAAACCCAAGCGGCCAGGCACGGUGGCUCACGCCUGUAAUCCCAGCACUUUGGGAGGCCGAGGCGGGUGGAUCACUUGAGGUCAGGAGUUCGGCAGAUGCCCCUGCAGGCCAUCUCUCCAGGCUCAGGAACCUAAAGAAGAAUCUACCCAGAUGUGGUGGCUCACACCUGUGAUCCCACCACUUUGGGAGGCUGAGGCAAGAGGAUCACUUGAGCCCAGGAGUUGGAGACCAACGUAGGCAAUACAGCAAGACUCCCAUCUCUACAAAAAAAAAAAAGAAAGAAAGAAAGAAAGAAAAGAAAUUAGCUGGCUGUGGUGCUGCACAUUUGUAAUACCAGCUACUCUAGAGGCUGAGGCUGGAGGAUCACUUGAGCCGAGGAGUGAGCUAUGACCACACCAUUGCAUUUCAGCCUCAGUGACAGAGCAAGGCCCU